AGUGAACGCUGGCGGUAGGCCUAACACAUGCAAGUCGAACGGCAGCACAGUAAGAGCUUGCUCUUACGGGUGGCGAGUGGCGGACGGGUGAGGAAUACAUCGGAAUCUACUUUUUCGUGGGGGAUAACGUAGGGAAACUUACGCUAAUACCGCAUACGACCUACGGGUGAAAGCAGGGGAUCUUCGGACCUUGCGCGAUUGAAUGAGCCGAUGUCGGAUUAGCUAGUUGGCGGGGUAAAGGCUCGCCAAGGCGACGAUCCGUAGCUGGUCUGAGAGGAUGAUCAGCCACACUGGAACUGAGACACGGUCCAGACUCCUACGGGAGGCAGCAGUGGGGAAUAUUGGACAAUGGGCGCAAGCCUGAUCCAGCCAUACCGCGUGGGUGAAGAAGGCCUUCGGGUUGUAAAGCCCUUUUGUUGGGAAAGAAAAGCAGCAGGUUAAUACCCCGCUGUUCUGACGGUACCCAAAGAAUAAGCACCGGCUAACUUCGUG
rnacentral:rRNA from 1 species